GAUUAUGCUAAUUCGCCACCCAAAAUAACGCAGGUGUCCCAAGGCGAGCUCAGCGUGGACGGAAACCACACGUCGAGCAAAAGGGCAAAAGCUCGCUCGAUCUCGAUUUUCAGUACGAAUACGGACCGCGAGAAGAGACUCAAUAGAUCGCAAUGUGGUAGCUGCUCUACUAAGCACAAGGCCAGCAAAUUUAUUCAAGGGGGUCAAGUCGAUU
rnacentral:ncRNA from 1 species